UACGAAGGGGGCUAGCGUUGCUCGGAAUCACUGGGCGUAAAGCGCACGUAGGCGGAUUGUUAAGUCAGGGGUGAAAUCCUGGAGCUCAACUCCAGAUCUGCCUUUGAUACUGGCGAUCUUGAGUUCGGGAGAGGUGAGUGGAACUGCGAGUGUAGAGGUGAAAUUCGUAGAUAUUCGCAAGAACACCAGUGGCGAAGGCGGCUCACUGGCCCGAUACUGACGCUGAGGUGCGAAAGCGUGGGGAGCAAACAGG
rnacentral:rRNA from 1 species